UCAAGCUUCUUUGCGUAGUCAGACAACGGUGUAGACGGUUCUUGGUCCGGGAAUUGACUUUUAUCUGUUGUAUUUUCGCCGGAAUCCAUGAUAAUCGUGAGCUAAACUACCAAUAUUAUAUAGCUUUGGCAUAGAUUUACAUGUCCUAGGAGGUGCACAAACAUGGCGGGCGCAAUAAUGUGUGACGUCACACGAAAUCGAUCUAUUGGCUCAAAGUUUACCUAACGAAUAAACAAACAUAUGUAAAUAGCAAAUGUGACUUGUGAGAAGCGAGAUCGUCUUGAGGAUAAUAACAAAGGUUAAAAUCCAGAAUUCAAAGAUGACAACCUCCCAGUAUAAUUGAUAGGCUGAAUUUGAUGGGAAGAUGGCAAAUUAUUCGAUCUUUUCCGGUUUACAAGGGGUCUUUGAGGUUUCCAUUACAAUGACCGGAGAGGAAGGGUACUGGGUAUUUUCAGAUUUGCAAUUUCGCGGAAGGCAUCUAAUGUCAACGUAGGUCACUUGUUAUUCUUCGCUUUGCAAAGAGCUUCCUGCUUAAUUGUCUUCCCGUGUGAGGUAUACUUUGGACUAAAUCAGUAAAGCCGGGUUCCCGUUGCUUGGAGGUAAACUAACAUGUCUUACAGAGAUCGCUUGAUUGCUAACCCAGGGAGAACCGAACUCGAACGGGUGCACACCAAACGAGUUGAGAUUAAAGAUGUUACUGUCACCGUUAAAGUCAGAAAUGAAAUCCACGCGUAUACAAAUCAUUACAUUAAGCAGAGCAAACCUUACUUCCCGAACGAGAAGUUGCCCAUUUACAUCAGUUGUCCGCAUUUUUAAAAAUCACCCCAAUCCCGGGUGGUUUUAGCAUCUUUGGAGGCAUUGUUGUUUUUGGUGUAUCUAAGGCCGUACCUGCGUUCUUUCUCGUUGCUUGCCUGCUGCUCUUCAUGAUGUUUUGCCAAGACGAGUGGGUGAAUGAGAAAACUCUGCCUAUUGUACACAAACAGCCCUUCCUCGAUGAUCAGAAAGGCCUGAACAAAUUCUACGACGUGACCAUCACUGAACUUGAUGGAAUUGCUCUCCAAAAUUACCAAGCUGGGAUUGGUUUUGUUAAACUUUCACAGGGAAAGAUCCAAAUUCAGGCAUUCAACAAGAGAGCGAAGAAACAUAUGUCCGACUCCAAUUGUCAGUCACGAGUAUUGCUGCUCGCUUACUUGGUCGCUUCUAUUUACAACUGCUACUUUGUGGAAGCCCAUUGACUGACCAGCCCGCUGUACGGACGGAUAUCAUGUUAUGCAGAUGGUAAAAAACAGUAGUUUACAUGGAGUUCACUGUUGCAAUCCCUGAUUUGUAGUUAUGAGUAACCACAGAAAUAAAUCAACAGAAUUCCAUCGA